GCCAGAGUGGCGGAACUGGUAGACGCGCACGGUUUAGGGCCGUGUGUCUUUAUUGACGUGUGGGUUCAAGUCCCACCUCUGGCA
rnacentral:tRNA from 1 species